UCCCUCAUAGCUCAGUCAGUAAAGAAUCUGCAUGCAAUGCAGGAGACCCGGGUUCGAUUCCUGGGUGGGGAA
rnacentral:tRNA from 1 species